rnacentral:rRNA from 1 species
GAUGAACGCUGGCGGCGUGCCUAAUACAUGCAAGUCGAGCGAACGGACGAGAAGCUUGCUUCUCUGAUGUUAGCGGCGGACGGGUGAGUAACACGUGGAUAACCUACCUAUAAGACUGGGAUAACUUCGGGAAACCGGAGCUAAUACCGGAUAAUAUUUUGAACCGCAUGGUUCAAAAGUGAAAGACGGUCUUGCUGUCACUUAUAGAUGGAUCCGCGCUGCAUUAGCUAGUUGGUAAGGUAACGGCUUACCAAGGCAACGAUGCAUAGCCGACCUGAGAGGGUGAUCGGCCACACUGGAACUGAGACACGGUCCAGACUCCUACGGGAGGCAGCAGUAGGGAAUCUUCCGCAAUGGGCGAAAGCCUGACGGAGCAACGCCGCGUGAGUGAUGAAGGUCUUCGGAUCGUAAAACUCUGUUAUUAGGGAAGAACAUAUGUGUAAGUAACUGUGCACAUCUUGACGGUACCUAAUCAGAAAGCCACGGCUAACUACGUGCCAGCAGCCGCGGUAAUACGUAGGUGGCAAGCGUUAUCCGGAAUUAUUGGGCGUAAAGCGCGCGUAGGCGGUUUUUUAAGUCUGAUGUGAAAGCCCACGGCUCAACCGUGGAGGGUCAUUGGAAACUGGAAAACUUGAGUGCAGAAGAGGAAAGUGGAAUUCCAUGUGUAGCGGUGAAAUGCGCAGAGAUAUGGAGGAACACCAGUGGCGAAGGCGACUUUCUGGUCUGUAACUGACGCUGAUGUGCGAAAGCGUGGGGAUCAAACAGGAUUAGAUACCCUGGUAGUCCACGCCGUAAACGAUGAGUGCUAAGUGUUAGGGGGUUUCCGCCCCUUAGUGCUGCAGCUAACGCAUUAAGCACUCCGCCUGGGGAGUACGACCGCAAGGUUGAAACUCAAAGGAAUUGACGGGGACCCGCACAAGCGGUGGAGCAUGUGGUUUAAUUCGAAGCAACGCGAAGAACCUUACCAAAUCUUGACAUCCUUUGACAACUCUAGAGAUAGAGCCUUCCCCUUCGGGGGACAAAGUGACAGGUGGUGCAUGGUUGUCGUCAGCUCGUGUCGUGAGAUGUUGGGUUAAGUCCCGCAACGAGCGCAACCCUUAAGCUUAGUUGCCAUCAUUAAGUUGGGCACUCUAAGUUGACUGCCGGUGACAAACCGGAGGAAGGUGGGGAUGACGUCAAAUCAUCAUGCCCCUUAUGAUUUGGGCUACACACGUGCUACAAUGGACAAUACAAAGGGCAGCGAAACCGCGAGGUCAAGCAAAUCCCAUAAAGUUGUUCUCAGUUCGGAUUGUAGUCUGCAACUCGACUACAUGAAGCUGGAAUCGCUAGUAAUCGUAGAUCAGCAUGCUACGGUGAAUACGUUCCCGGGUCUUGUACACACCGCCCGUCACACCACGAGAGUUUGUAACACCCGAAGCCGGUGGAGUAACCUUUUAGGAGCUAGCCGUCGAAGGUGGGACAAAUGAUUGGGGUGAAGUCGUAACAAGGUAGCCGUAUCGGAAGGUGCGGCUGGAUCACCUCCUUUCUAAGGAUAUAUUCGGAACA